rnacentral:snRNA from 2 species
AAUGUGGUAUAUACGUGCAAUAAAACACUAUUCAGCCUACAGAGAAGAUUAGCAUGGUCCCUCACAAGGAUAACACACAAAUACAUGAAGCAUUCCAUAUUUUU